rnacentral:rRNA from 1 species
GCGCAGCAGGCGCGAAAACUUUACAAUGCAGGCAACUGUGAUAAGGGAACACCGAGUGCCCGUAUGGACGGGCUGUUCAGGUGCUUAAAAACCACCUGGAGAAAGGGCCGGGCAAGACCGGUGCCAGCCGCCGCGGUAAUACCGGCGGCUCGAGUGGUGGCCACUAUUACUGGGCUUAAAGCGUCCGUAGCUUGGUCGUUAAGCCUCUGGGGAAAUCUUCCGGCUCAACCGGAAGGCGUCUCAGGGGAACUGGCGACCUAGGGAUCGGGAGAGGUGAGAGGUACUCUGGGGGUAGGAGUGAAAUCCUGUAAUCCUCAGGGGACCACCUGUGGCGAAGGCGUCUCACCAGAACGACUCCGACAAUGAGGGACGAAAGCUGGGGGAGCAAACCGGAUUAGAUACCCGGGUAGUCCCAGCCGUAAACGAUGCGCGUUAGGUGUAUCGGUGACCACGAGUUACCGAGGUGCCGAAGGGAAACCGUGAAACGCGCCGCCUGGGAAGUACGGUCGCAAGGCUGAAACUUAAAGGAAUUGGCAGGGGAGCACCACAACGGGUGGAGCCUGCGGUUUAAUUGGAUUCAACGCCGGG